rnacentral:rRNA from 1 species
UAUUUCCUACGGGAGGCAGCAGUGAGGAAUAUUGGUCAAUGGACGAGAGUCUGAACCAGCCAAGUAGCGUGAAGGAUGACUGCCCUAUGGGUUGUAAACUUCUUUUAUAUGGGAAUAAAGUUUUCCACGUGGGGAAUUUUGUAUGUACCAUAUGAAUAAGGAUCGGCUAACUCCGUGCCAGCAGCCGCGGUAAUACGGAGGAUCCGAGCGUUAUCCGGAUUUAUUGGGUUUAAAGGGUGCGCAGGCGGAGGUGCAAGUCAGCGGUCAAAUUGCGGGGCUCAACCCCG